rnacentral:lncRNA from 1 species
GGGAAAUAGAUGUUUAAUACUUGUGAAACAAGUUCACCAUAUAUUUUGAGGUGUCAGGCAUUGUGUAAAAACAAGCUCCUAACAAAUGAGUUCUGGAGUUUAUUAGCAUAGAUGAAUAACAGAAAGCUCCAUGUGAAAUAGCCACACUUGGCAGGACCUUUGGUUGGAGCCUCAGUAACGCCCCCACGCACCACCACGCCUGGGAAACGUUUACCCAGGAAGCAAACCAGUGCUGCUCAGAAACCCUGCAAGUCCAGAAUUAGCCAAUCACACUUCAAAUACACAUAUUUUUGAACAUUUACAUUCUCAUUUUGGGUUCAGGAAGCAAUUGCAAACACUUACAUUCCAUACCACAUCACAGAACAAACCUUGACUGUUGUCUAAUUCACACUGAAGCCCAAUCUGCAGACCCUCAGCAAAUCUGAAAAGGACCAUGAAUCACCAUGUCCCAGAUGGGAGACAGGAGGAGCGGGCACUCUCUCCAGGGCAGGGCAGGGGCACACCGUGUUUUAAACCAGCCUUUCUGUUAGUGUCUGUCUUGGGAAACCGGAGUGAAUGAGGCCUUUGAUUACUGAAUACUUGGAGAUUUUGGAUCAUUGCCCUCUUUGUCUCACUGACCAGCUCCACAGACCACGCUGACUUAGGUGUGUUUUGGAGCCAUAGAAGAGACAGCUGUUUUCAGGGAUCAUAUUUAGAGUCCCAUGCUGCACUAUUGUUCAAGGUGAUGGAAAUAUGCAGGGCCAUGAAACCAUUCAGCGGGUGCUAGAAAGCAGGGUUUUCCUGUUUUCCAAACUCAGACAAUGGAGAAGGUAAGAUGAAUAAUAGGAAAAGGCUUUCCUAUAUUUGCAUUUUUAAAAGCUGAGUUAUUUUGAAUUUGGUAACUAUUUUUGUUGUUAAAUCUCAUCUGUUCUCUUAGUUUUCCCAGAAAUAUUUAUAGACAAAGAGGCUUGGAAAGAAGUACCUGGUGAUUUCGUCCAUCAACUGGAAGGCUGUUUGGUGAAAAUCGGCCCAGCCAAAGGCUGAUGCUUAGGAAGGAAAGAGUCAGUGCCUUUGAGAGGGAACCAAUUCAUUCCCAGCAUGGCUCAUCGCCACAGUGGAUACAGCAGCACUUGGGUGUGGUUCACAUUUUUACUCCACAGUUUUGCCCUCAUGAUAGGGGAAGGUAGCAGGGGAAUCUCCAGGGAGACGUAUGGCUCUGUCACUGAGUCACGGGCCCUGCCCAGCAGGCAGCAGGGGACAGCCCAGCUCCCUGUCCUCAGCCCCAGCCCUGUGAGACUCAUGCAGGUGACAUUGCUGUGAACUGUGAUGUGUGCCUUCUCCGGUCCCUCAAAGGCUUUCUCCCUUCUCCCAUUUAUGCUGCCACUAGCUUGAGAUGUGAGGAUCUUAGUUUGGGGGCUCAGAGGCUGCAGCAGUGGAAACACUCACCAGCCAGGUGGCCAUCAACAAACUACCCUUUUCCUGAGGGUUCCCGGGGGGCUCAGCCAUAGCUGAUAGUCUAAGGCUUCACUGUCUGAGGGGGUGGCCAGACCCCGGACGCUGGCUUCUCAAUAGGAAUGGAAAAAGAGCUCCACUCGCCACAAAGGAAGGGGCUGCUGUCAUCAGCGGGGACUGCCUUCCUUAUCUGCCAUCCUAAGGUCAGGGCAUCCUAGGGAUGAAGCCACGUGUUGCCACCAACAGGAGAAUUUAAAUAGAGACCAGAAAGGGGGGCUGAGCAGUGUGAGACAUGAAGAGAACCUGCAGUGACCCCCACAGGGUCUGCACAGAGCAUACAGGGGCCACAGGAAGAGGACUGUCUCCUCCACCCCAAGUGCCAGGGCAGAACUGUGGCAGCCCAGGGGCACAGGUGUCAUGCUCACAUUUUUUUCUCUCAAGUGCAAAUGUUGCUGUGUCCUUUAAAAUCUCUGAAUGGUCACUGAUGGUUUCUGUGCAAAUGACAGCCAGUCUCAACAGGUUGCCAAGAGUCCUGUGGCCAGUGGAGGUUCUUGCCAAAUGGAUGCAGCCUUGGGUCCCUGGAAAGUUAAAAACCAGCUUGUGAUCUCAGCACUCUAGGAGGCUGAGGGAGGCUGAGGCAGGAGGAUGGCAAAUUCAAGCCCAGCCUGGGCAACUUAGUCACUUAGUGAGACCCUGUCUCAGACAAAAAAAAAAAAAAACAAGAUAUUUGGAUGUAGCUCAGUGAAAAGGCCCUGGGUUUAACCCCAAAUAUCACAAAAAAUUUCACAAUUAAAAUUAAGUUAAAAACCAAAGCUCCAAUUGAAACCUGGAGGACAUAAGAUGACUAAAAGGCAGAAAUUGCCAGCACCUAUUAAGCCUGCACAGCCCCCAUCUUGCCUGUGUCUCCCCCAGCUUAGACUUCCCACAUUUCAGCACUGACAAAGGAUAUUUACUUAGUUCCGAAGGCCACAUCCCAGUGGAUGUGGAUUGCUGUCCACCCCAGCCCCAGGGUGGCAACUCCUGGGAGAGACGCGUGUAACACAGGAACCGCAGGGAGGGCGCAUGGCUCCAGGCCCAGAUCUGGAAGUCUUGGUGGAGACCCAUGCGCUUGUCUCACAGCGAGCCUCGCUUCUGAGGCGGCUUUCCAGUCAAGCUGGGCUGUGAGGUGGAGAGCGCUUUGCCCAAGCAGAGAUUUUUGUAAAAGAAGUUUACACUGAGUGUGUCAGGUACAAUGACCUCAAGCAGAGAAUGUGUUACAAAAUGUGUUAAUUAUUCUCUCUUCCCCUCUCCCUUCCCUUCCCAGCCCUAACUAAGGUGAAGAGGGAAAAGGGGGACCCUGAGCGUCCUGUGGGACUGAGUCCCAGCAGGUACAAGUUCUCCUGUGACCCGUGCUGAAAUGCUUUAAAAACACAGCUUCCCAGACCCACCUGCUGCCCCACCCACCUAUCCUUGAUCCAGGGGAGCUGCAGGAGCCACAGCAGGGGCCACACGGGGCCAUGCCGCUCAGAGCUGCCCAGGUUUUUCGAUAGUCCAGCAUGUUCACCUCCAUCUGUACAGAGGAAGCAAGCCCUGCCCAGCCCUUAGGUCUUACGCUUACACCAAAGCCCUCCACUCCUUCACGCAAUUUUUCUCAUAUUUUUCCAACUUUACUUGCAAAUAAAUCCAAGACAGCAAGAAACUUAAGAACCAGAGGAUGUGGAUCUCUACUUCCUGGUGAUCCCACUUCCUGCCAUUCUGAAGGCUUCCACAGCAGUGAGGGGCUGAGCAAGGAAGCGCAGAUGCAGAUGGGGAGAGCUGGUUCCAGUCUGAGCAAGUUCCUUUGGCAGCACAGAGUUUCUCGUACAGUCAGAUCAUCAAAGGACCCAGCUGCCCUCUCCGGGAGAGGCACAAACCCAUCAGUGCUAACAGCACCAGCCGCCACCCUCUGCUCUAGAGGAAAGGGAGAGGGCAGGGCAUGAAGGGAGCCCUUGGCACUGGGCCCUGGCCUGACCAGAACCAGGGGAGAAAGGAAGUCAGCUGCAUUUGAAUUUGAAAAGGAGGAGCUCAUAGGAACCCUUAGUGUUCACAAAGUUCCCAUGGUGAUGGGGACACAGCUUCCAUCGCAGAAAAUAUCACCCACGUGGAGAAAAUACCUUUUGCAUCUCAAGUCAAAGGCCGUAAGGGGAAGGCAUGCCACCGUGUACUAAAAUUCCAGUCCAGGCUUGGGAGGGUGUGACUUCCCCUUCACUCCGAAGGUGGUGGCAGCUGACUGGACUUGUCCUCGAGCCACUUCCCUUCAGCAGUCUGACCCAGGUGUCGGACU